rnacentral:lncRNA from 1 species
GAACAAGUGAGGAGAAUGGAAGGAGACCAGCCAGAAGGACCUAGCAUGGGUAGAGGAAAGCUUCCCCUCCCCUACAGUUUGGUGACGAAGAAGGGAUAAAAUUUAACUGGCUGGACACUGCUCACUCAGGGACUACUGCAGCUGAGAGAUCCUAGAACCUUGACAAGAGCCAGCAAGAAGUAAGAGUUCUUACCACAGCAGUCUCCCAGAUCUCUGCCUUCAGGGUCCAGUGGAAGUGAGAUUGGGAAUGUGUUUCUUAUUAAAUACCUAAUUGCUUGCUUCUACAAUAUAGGCCUAGCUUGGGAAGCCCACC